GGCUGUAGGGGCCGGGACCGCCCCAGCCCGAAGACGGUUGGACCCGCAAAACUCUGUCCGUACCUCAGCCGGCCUCCUUUAUUGGGGGGCCCAGGGGGUUCCCCGCUUUUCCUAUCACUGCACCUCCUGCCGCCGCAAAGUAACUGAUGCUUAUAAAAAGUUGUAUUGAAGAGUUGACUGCAGCCCAGAAUCGAUCAACAAGAGACCAGCCUCUCUAGGUGCCUGUGAUGAAUGACACAUGGAUCAACCCGUAGUCUUCAGAGUCUGUCAUGUGAAGCCAAUGAAAGAUAUCUGCUAGUAACCAAAUGAUGAUCAUGUAAAAAGUCUUUCUGUCCCUUCUCAAGGCAAUGCCUUCUACUUGACAUGAUCAGAUGGGAAAAUUGAUGGAUAAUCACAAGAAAAAACUUGAAAUGACUUUUUAAAGGUACCAGUGGAAGACCUCUGUAUUUAUUACAAGUUAUAACUCUGAGGAACAAUUUCUGUAUGGGAUUUGGUAGAUGACUUGUGAUGAAUUGUGAUUUUGUCUUCAUUUUUAUUUGAAGAGCAAUAUAGAUCUAAAAGGAUCAUAUUCAGAAUAGGUAACAUCCGAUAUGAAAAAAACUAUCAGUCCUUUAGAAUUACAUAAAGAAUACAAUAAAUUAUAGC